rnacentral:rRNA from 1 species
GAUCAUGGCUCAGGAUGAACGCUAGCUACAGGCUUAACACAUGCAAGUCGAGGGGCAGCGAGAGGAAAGCUUGCUUCCUGUCGGCGACCGGCGCACGGGUGAGUAACGCGUAUCCAACCUUCCCCAUAGUAGAGGAUAGCCCGGCGAAAGUCGGAUUAAUACUCUAUGUUGUGUCAUGAGGACAUCUGAAUAACACUAAAGAUUUAUCGCUAUGGGAUGGGGGAUGCGUCUGAUUAGGUAGUCGGCGGGGUAACGGCCCACCGAGCCGACGAUCAGUAGGGGUUCUGAGAGGAAGGUCCCCCACAUUGGUACUGAGACACGGACCAAACUCCUACGGGAGGCAGCAGUGAGGAAUAUUGGUCAAUGGACGAGAGUCUGAACCAGCCAAGUAGCGUGCCAGGAUGACUGCCCUAUGGGUUGUAAACUGCUUUUAUGCGGGAAUAAAGUCAGGUACGUGUACCUGUUUGUAUGUACCGCAUGAAUAAGGACCGGCUAAUUCCGUGCCAGCCGCGGC